CUAAGGCUAAAUACUCUCUAGUGACCGAUAGUGAACCAGUACCGUGAGGGAAAGGUGAAAAGCACCCCGGAAGGGGAGUGAAAUAGAACCUGAAACCGUGUGCUUACAAGUAGUCAGAGCCCGUUAAUGGGUGAUGGCGUGCCUUUUGUAGAAUGAACCGGCGAGUUACGAUUUGAUGCAAGGUUAAGCAGUAAAUGUGGAGCCGUAGCGAAAGCGAGUCUGAAUAGGGCGUUUAGUAUUUGGUCGUAGACCCGAAACCAGGUGAUCUACCCUUGGUCAGGUUGAAGUUCAGGUAACACUGAAUGGAGGACCGAACCGACUUACGUUGAAAAGUGAGCGGAUGAACUGAGGGUAGCGGAGAAAUUCCAAUCGAACCUGGAGAUAGCUGGUUCUCUCCGAAAUAGCUUUAGGGCUAGCCUCAAGUGAUGAUUAUUGGAGGUAGAG
rnacentral:rRNA from 1 species